rnacentral:misc_RNA from 1 species
GAUGAAGAACGCAGCGAAAUGCGAUAAGUAAUGUGAAUUGCAGAAUUCAGUGAAUCAUCGAAUCUUUGAACGCACAUUGCGCCCGCCAGUAUUCUGGCGGGCAUGCCUGUUCGAGCGUCAUUUCAACCCUCAAGCCCUGCUUGGUGUUGGGGAUCGGCGUUGCCUCCUCCGUCGUUCGCGGCGGGGUGAGGUCGCCGCCCCCGAAAUGAAUUGGCGGUCUCGUCGCAGCUUUCCUUUGCGUAGUAACAUACCACCUCGCAACCAGGAGCGCGGCGCGGCCACUGCCGUAAAACGCCCAACUUUUUCAAGAGUCGACCUCGAAUCAGGUAGGAAUACCCGCUGAACUUAAGCAUAUCAAUAAGCGGAGGA